UACAGGGAGGGGGCAAGCGUUGUUCGGAAUUACUGGGCGUAAAGGGCGCGUAGGCGGCCCUCUAAGUCGAACGUGAAAUCCCUGGGCUCAACCCAGGAACUGCGUCCGAUACUGGAAGGCUUGAAUCCGGGAGAGGGAUGCGGAAUUCCAGGUGUAGCGGUGAAAUGCGUAGAUAUCUGGAGGAACACCGGUGGCGAAGGCGGCAUCCUGGACCGGUAUUGACGCUGAGGCGCGAAAGCCAGGGGAGCAAACGGG
rnacentral:rRNA from 1 species